ACGGGAGGCAGCAGUGGGGAAUAUUGCACAAUGGGGGAAACCCUGAUGCAGCGACGCCGCGUGAAGGAAGAAGUAUCUCGGUAUGUAAACUUCUAUCAGCAGGGAAGAAAGUGACGGUACCUGACUAAGAAGCCCCGGCUAACUACGUGCCAGCAGCCGCGGUAAUACGUAGGGGGCAAGCGUUAUCCGGAUUUACUGGGUGUAAAGGGAGCGUAGACGGAGCAGCAAGUCUGAUGUGAAAGGCGGGGGCUCAACCCCCGGACUGCAUUGGAAACUGCUGAUCUUGAGUACCGGAGGGGUAAGCGGAAUUCCUAGUGUAGCGGUGAAAUGCGUAGAUAUUAGGAGGAACACCAGUGGCGAAGGCGGCUUACUGGACGGUAACUGACGUUGAGGCUCGAAAGCGUGGGGAGCAAACAGGAUUAGAUACCCUGGUA
rnacentral:rRNA from 1 species